rnacentral:rRNA from 1 species
GGGUGAGUAACACGUGAGUAACCUGCCCCAGACUCUGGGAUAAGCCUUGGAAACGAGGUCUAAUACUGGAUAUGAGAUGCCCCUGCAUGGGGAGUGUCUGGAAAGAUUUAUCGGUCUGGGAUGGACUCGCGGCCUAUCAGCUUGUUGGUGGGGUAAUGGCCUACCAAGGCGACGACGGGUAGCCGGCCUGAGAGGGCGACCGGCCACACUGGGACUGAGACACGGCCCAGACUCCUACGGGAGGCAGCAGUGGGGAAUAUUGCACAAUGGGCGCAAGCCUGAUGCAGCGACGCCGCGUGAGGGAUGAAGGCCUUCGGGUUGUAAACCUCUUUCAGCAGGGAAGAAGCGCAAGUGACGGUACCUGCAGAAGAAGCGCCGGCUAACUACGUGCCAGCAGCCGCGGUAAUACGUAGGGCGCAAGCGUUGUCCGGAAUUAUUGGGCGUAAAGAGCUCGUAGGCGGUUUGUCGCGUCUGGUGUGAAAACUCAAGGCUCAACCUUGAGCUUGCAUCGGGUACGGGCAGACUAGAGUGCGGUAGGGGUGACUGGAAUUCCUGGUGUAGCGGUGGAAUGCGCAGAUAUCAGGAGGAACACCGAUGGCGAAGGCAGGUCACUGGGCCGCAACUGACGCUGAGGAGCGAAAGCAUGGGGAGCGAACAGGAUUAGAUACCCUGGUAGUCCAUGCCGUAAACGUUGGGCACUAGGUGUGGGGCUCAUU